UGAGGAGUGGUAUUAGCAUUGUGCAGAAUAGGGAAGUGUAAAAAACGACGUUACGUUGUUAUUGCUACCAUGUGGGAGGAAAGUGUCACGUGACAAAUUCACUCAAUGGCCGAGGAUUAAACAGACGGACUAUCGAAGGGAGUCUUGGGGUACUGAAUGGAACCUUCCCGACACCUGACCUGGGUAGGAUAAAGCUGCCGUGUCACAGUGUAACAGAAUGUGGGAAGUGUCACAGGUCACUCCAGGAUCAUUCACCUCCACACGCCUGAGGCCCUCCUUUGCAAGCCCGUCAACCACUUCAUUCCCCUUCAGGCUGACAUGAGCUGGGACCCAUACCAUGGACGUCUUUCUUGGGUGGAUGGAUUCAGAGAUGACCCCAGAGAUGCGGCCAUGACUGUGGCACAUGUACUUUAUAGAUAGUGACUGUAAAGAAAUGUUGAUAGUAGAAAAAAAAAUCUUGAUAUGGUUUUGUGGUGUUAAGUUAACUGACAAUUAAGUGUUCAUAAUUUGUCAGAAAAAAGUGUCAAAGCUGAAAUAUAUUCUGCAAAUUCAAAAUAAAGUGGUGAGCUGGAGUGAUAUUACAUAUAUAUAUAUAACAAGAAGGACAAUUUUGUUAUGGACCGUGACCUAGAAGUGAAAACCAGACUUUGGAAUAACACAGCUUAUAUGCAGUGUGCAGUAAUGAAAUUUCACACGAAAGUUUCUGAGGGUAUAGGCACCUAGUUUCUAAAAGAAUUUUACCAUGUUGCCGCUUGGGACAAUAAAGUCAAGUCAGCAACUGUCUACCAGAUGGCCAGAUUCAUCUCUUCCAAAGGAUGUCAUACCUUUCCAGAUACACUGUGUUGUGUGUGGAUAAGAAAUCCAGAGUGGUACCACAAGUCACCUAAGCCACCAUUCCCCUAACAGACGCAAGGCUCAUGGGGACAGUCCCUGCAGUUUACAGCAAAGUUCUCAAUUGUAGCCCUACUAACUUUAGGUAAAGAACGGAUCGAUGAUUUCCUGGAUAUGGACAAGACCAACUACCUGCAGGGAUUAAGCAGAAUAGAGCAGUAUUGAAAAACAAGAACAAAACUUUUUAAUGAAAACAAAACACUUUCGUUAGAAAGCACAGAAGAAAAAAGCAGCAAUGACGAUACACUGAAGUGAUUGGAGUUUCACCACGAUAAGAUACCAUAAAGAAAGUCAACAAGUCGGUCGGUUUUGCAGGUGGUCUGCAAAAGUGCAAAAAAUUGUGACGCAAACCAAAAUACUUAGACUAAAGUUUUCAAGAAACUGUACUGUCUUUGAACUUUAAACAUAUGUUCGCUUGAAGUGAAGAUGUAUUUGACAUAGUUAUGAUAUUGAGCAGUCCAAUAUUUGUUAGAGGGGGAAAGGAUUUGUAAAAGUUUCAAGAUGCAAACAAAUAAUCAUUCUCAAGACAAUAAUGAAUUAUAAAUAUUUAAAAGAUACAUACUGUGGAAGAACUUUUUAUACAUACUUAUUCACAUUAUUUAAGAAAAUUUGGACUCAGUUUGAUCUGUACCUAGCAAGCUAUAAUAUGCAAAUAUGGUAACUUUAUUAUUCAUAUAAAUUUAUUCUGAUGCCUUGAUUAACAGGUGUGAAAUAAAUAGCACAACAGCUACCUAUUUGUUUGACUGACCACUGUGCACACACUGUGAUAUAUAGCCAUAGAUAUUAAAGUAACCAUUAAAGCUGCACUCUCACAAAUUGACAGUUUUGACCUUUUGUUAUUUUUUUUGUCUCAGAGUCUAUAUAAUCAUAUAAUGAUAACACAAUUUAAUAGUUCUUUCCAGGAUUAGUGUGUCACUUUGUAUGUAAAUACACAUGGAUAUUUGCUCAGUAACCACAACAUUAUGUCAUUCUUGUUGUAUUUAUCAAAAGCUAAUGUAGCUUUAAAAUGUGUGUACAAUGUUCCACCAUUCUGUCAACUGCAUGCUGCAUUGUUGCUACUGUUAUAGUGAACUUUUUAUAAAAAUUGAGAUUGAGUUUCAAAGAGACAAUACAUAAAUCAGCCAACAAUUCAUUAAAUGGAGAUUUUUUGCAUUGAUGAGAUAUUGUUGCACACAGAUCUAGAAUAUUGGAGCCUUAGGCCAUAAUAAUACAAAAACCUUGUCAUAUGUACACAACCAUCAUUCAAUACAAUUAUUUUAAGAGAUUUGGUAACACGAGAGCUUAAUUAUAACAUUGUGUCAAAGUUUGUGAAUGUGUGUUCUUUGGAUGUUCAGUAAAUAUUUAUA